rnacentral:sRNA from 1 species
ACGGAGGGGAGAUCCAGAUUCAAACACGAAGCGGAGGCGCAGGAGCCAAGCGCUGCAAACCAGCACCAAUAAGGAGGAACAAUGAAGGAGUGGCAAGGCUGGAGUUCUAAAGCUUUCAUCCUUCAAACGGCUACAUGCUCCCGUUGCCAACAGAGGUUUUGCUACAUCUGGGAAGAGGGCUGCGCCAUGGAGUAUUCUGGUCUGUAAAAGAAAAAAGACUUUUUAAGAGUCUUCUGGAACUCGGUCUGCUUAAUAAGAGAAGUGGAAAACAGCUUAGAAGGCCCAUCACCACCAACAACUGGGAAACAGAAAGUACAACACAACGGCAGAUACAUCCUGCACAGCCACAGAGUCAGUGUGAAAGACAGAGAUGCUUAGCGAUGGAAGAGUCAUUUGCACUUUUGCCGCUGCAGAAUCUAAGAAUCUAAGUCAUGAAACCUGACACCCACAGUGAGAACACAUUUGUUUUGGAACAAAAAAAAAUUGAAGAGUAAAGUUGUGUAUCCUUUAUCAGUAGGA